UGGCUCAGUGGUAGAGUGCUUGCCUUGCAUGCAUGAGACCCUGGGUUCGAUUCCUCAG
rfam:Dipodomys ordii contig_27912, whole genome shotgun sequence.